ACUGCGCUUCCGUCGCACAGAGCCUGACGAAGGCUUGGGCUCCCCGCGCGGUGACCGUCGAGGUGACCUGCACCUGGCUCCAUGGCGGAACCGGCCGGCACGGAUUAUUCCCCUCUCGGGAGAGGUCUGCAGCCGGGCCUCAGUGCUUCAGUUCGUGGCCUGGCAUUUUGUGUCAGUGUUUUUUAACCUUUGGACCCUAGUUCAACCGACUCCGAGACCUAGGGGACAGAUCUUAAGUUUUACAAUAACCCAGGGGUCAGACAGGGUCUGAUCUAGCCUGUGGGGCAAGUACGGGGAAGACACGGGACCUCUUGGAGGGGGUCAGUAGGCUUGUAGGGGGAAAGACGCACACAGAGACUAAAGGACGAGAUGGAGCAAGGUUCAACCCCCUAGCUGAGUGUUGGCAGUGUCGGGAUUUUAACGAAGACAUUGGUGCUUAUUAUGGUGAGGGGACUCAGGACAGUUUAGGGGAAGAGAGUGGCAUUUGAGUCCUAACUCGUAAGGAAGACUGGGUAGGACUACUUGAAAAUAACUUUUAAAAAUUAAUUAUAAAGCUGGUAAAAAUAGGAAAACAUCUAUGGCCCCACUGUCCAAAGACGACUUUUAACUUCUUGGAGAAUAUCCUUUCAGAUAGUUGUCUUUGUAAAUGUAUACUUUUAAUGUUUUUUCGUUUGCCUUUUUAAAAUAAAUUUUUUGGGGGACAGGGUCUUGCUCUGUUACCCAGGCUGUAGUGCAGUAGAACGAUUAUAGCUCAUUGCAACCCGGACGUCCUGGGUUCAAGCUAUCCUCACCUCUCAGCCUCUCGACUGGCUAGGACCACAGCCUCGAGCCAUCAUGUCUGGCUAAUUUUUACGUUUUUUUGUAGAGAUGGGGGUCUCGCUGUGUUGUCCAGGCUGGUCUUAAACUCCUUGCUUCAACAGAUCCUCCCACUCCAGCCUCCCAAAAUGUGAUUACAGGCUGAGUCACCACGCCUAGCAUGGUUUUUUUUGUUUUGUUUGUUUUGUAAGCAAAAUUGACAUACAUACUGGAGGUACAAUUCUGUAGCUGGCCUUCUUUACAGAGUUUAGAAUAAAUGUCUUUCCAUGUCAAGUUUUCACUUACAUCCUUUGUAGUAGUUGCAAAAUAUUCCAUUUUAUAGCUGUAUCUUAAUUGUGGAUUAAGGUUGGAGUGCAGUGGCACUAUCAUGGCUUAGUCCAGCCUCAGCCUUCUAGGUUCAAGCGAUCUUCCCACCUCAGCCUCCCAAGAAGCUGGGACUACAGGGACCCGCCACCCCACCUAGCUAAUUAAAAAAAAAAUUGUAGAGAUGGAGUCUCAGUGUGUAGCCCAGUCUCAAGUGACCCUCCCUCGUUGGCUUCCCAAAGCGCUGAGAUUGCAGGAAGAGUGUCUUCAUCUCUGCAUCCCUAGUGCAACAGAGCAUGACAAAAAUUCAACAAAUAUUUAUUGAAGAGUCUUGAUGUCUUUUGGGAAAGGAACUCUAUGGUUACCUUUACUCUAAGGUAAAGAAAUUUAGGUCCUGAACUUUAACCACCUUCUCCUCUUCUUUCUUCCCUCUUUCAUAAAUGAGCUCUUGGAAAAUUAAAAUGCCAGGAGGGUCCAGCAGAGAAUACCCAAGCCCACAUGUCCUGAUGGGAAGUGGGGGAUAAGUAGAGAGGGAAACACAGACCCUGUAGGCCAUCUCACUGCUGCUGGCCCAGGGGACCCUAACUCCUUUUGUUGACUCAUCAGAAGUAGAAUCCUCCUGAGGGUCUGUUUAAGAAGCACAGCUCUGGUAGAAAGGGUAGCUUUCCUAUGGGUACGGAGGGCUCUGCUACCCCAGGGCUAUCCACACUGGCCUGUGAAUCACUCUCAAAUGCUUAGGGUCACGGGCUUUCAGUGGAAUGAGCCCUCAUGUGCCACCAGGGGGCACCAAGGCCACAGAAAACCCUAUUCAGAAGGUUCUGGGGUGAGGGAAAGGAAUCCACGGGUUUGUGGAGCUGGCGGAGCAUGGGUGAGGACAGCAUUAUGCUAGGUUGGUGGCCUUGAAGUCAGAUGUAAAUUGGGAUCCUGGCUUGGCCACUGACUAUCCAUGGGAACUUUGAAUCUCAGGGGGCUCAUUUGUGAUGUGGGGGUACCAUUAUCUGCCUCAUCAGGUUGUGGGGAGGAUUAUAUGAGAUACCUUAUGUAAGAGGGGCUGGUGCAUUGUGGAAGUCAACAAGUAAGUUUUGUUAAAUUUGAGUAAGAAGACCUGUUUGUUUCCUCAAGUUGCUUAUAAUCUAGGUGAGGACACAUCUGAGAGAAUAACUAAUAGUUCAGUGAAGGUAAGAGCCAAAUGAUUGGCACAGACCUCAAGUGGUCUGGCAUUUACGGGAGAGGGGGAUUGUGAAACAGGAAUUGAAAGAAAUUUAAAAAUGCAUAAGCAAAAACUCAGUUUAUGUUUUAAAAAAACCAAUUCCCCCUGAGAAAGAGAAAGAGGUGGAGUCCUUUAAAAAUUAUCUGCUUGUUUUUCUGUCUGUGGCUAGUGAGCCUUAUCUCUCCCUUUCCCAGGCAUUGUGAAGACCCUGUUUCUCUAGCUGUGCAGCUGCAAGGUCACUAGGCAGAUAAACUCAAGCCAUAAAACAUGUUUUUCCUUGAAAAGUAAGAAAUAAUGUAAUGCAUGUGUCAAAUGAAUAACUAUUUCUCGCUUCUGUAAUAUGCUUCCCUUCGCACAGAUCUCCCCCUGCCCCAUGAAAUGCUUUAAAGGUAACUUA
ensembl:lncRNA LAMTOR5-AS1 LAMTOR5 and SLC16A4 antisense RNA 1